UUUGAAAUCAGCCCAACUUAGAAAUGAAGAGCCCUGCACAUACUCAAUCCACGAUCCCGUUCCUCUUGGUCCCCUUCUCUCUUUUUCCUGCAGCGGCCGCUGAGACGCAUAAUGAUGAUGUAGAUGUGGCUUAAAAUGAUCAUCGGUGGGGGCAGGACUGGCCUGUCAUGAAAUGUCAUAAUCAGCUGAUAUCGCUGGAACUUCCACACCUGGUUGGAUAUUGAUUUUACUUCAAAGAAGGCUCACGAUGUAGGAGAUGACGAUCCACUCCUGGAGGGACGGCCAGCCAUCCAUCCGCACCAGGAUGACGUAGUUAAACAGCAGCAGGUUGACACAUCUAAAAGAAUCUUUGUUUCCAACUGGACUGACUCAUUGAGAGGAAACCUUCACUGCACCUCACCAGUGCAGACAGAAGACCUGGAGGCAGGACGGGAGGCAUUUUAUACUUCAGCACGAUAUGGGCCCUGACUUUUCAUUUUCUACAUGGAGACAUAUUGAUCCUGCCUCCCAAGCCUAUAAGCUUUACCAGGAGAGAGGCAGGCCCCACCCCAAGAUCCACUAUCCACUCUUUGAAGAAAGAUUAGAGCCAUGUUCUCAGACUUUGGGCUGCAUCCUAAUCCCUGCGAAGCUGCACAAUGUGUGAUGACUCCACCCUCCACCCGAUCCAGAGGGUCUGGGGUGAGACCCAAGGCUGAGAGGCCUCGAUGGCUUCCUGGCCCCAUCUCCGGCAGCAGCCUCUAUGGCUGGGCUCUCCUGCAGGCUGGGUGCACCCCAGGCCCUCAGAUGGUUCUAACCAGAAUCGAUGGGCAGCAGUGACUUCGACUGUAUCAUCAAUCUUGGCUGCCACAAGGUUGGGUGUCCAGGCCCUCAGCUGACCCUUGAGGUGGGCCCCCACACAGAGCUUUGCUCUGCCCCCAGCCCACCCUCAUUCAUCGCCCAGACCACGGCCAGGGACCCAGCUCCUCAUGUCCCAUACCCUGCUCCCACCUCAUCACCAGUGCAACCACAGCACCGAGGCCUGCCUGGCGGGGGCUGUGGCUUGAUGCUUGGGAUUUCAUGAGAAGUCUCUCUCCUCCCGACUGACGUGGUUGCACAAGCCACAGUGUGCCUGGCCACCCCCGCUGGGACCGCCUGCAGCUCGGCCAUUUCCCCCAGAGGCGCUCUGAUCUGCCCUCCUGCCUCCUCUCCUGUUCUUGUUAGCAGAGAGCCACACUCUGGGAGCUGUGUAGACCCAGGGCCUCAGAGAGGGCUGGAGGAUGGCUUGCCAGCCAAGCGGGUCAGUUUGGUGAGCACUUCAGAAUGAGACGCCUUGAUUUGUUUCCCUAUUCCAAGAGUUUACCAUCUGGAUUUAGCCAUGCCCUUGUAAUGACCCCACCAAUUUCAUGAAAAAUGGAAUCUGUGAAUUUGCUCUUUAAAUCACUAGUCAUCUCUGUUCAUUUAAAAAUAAAAUUAUAGUUCCUUAAGUUUGUAUUGCUAAAGGCAUCAGAAGAAUUCAUCUUAAGCAAAUAGCAUGUGACUAUUUUGCCUUAUGAGAUGGUGUAUUUGGGACUAGGAUGGCCAUAUAUCAAUAUAUGACAGGAUAUCGAGAUCCAAUGUUAGCCAGAGAUCUCAAUUAGUCCCAGUUUUGUUCUCAUAAUUCAUUUUAAUUCAGUGAAUUUUUAGAUACUUUUUUAAGCCCUUGAAGUUUUUCUUGAUUCCAACAUAUCAAAGCAUUCAAAAUAUACUGAAUGUCAAA